CGUCACUUCCGGGAUGUAUGUGAGAGCAAAAUGACAGCCGGUUAGAUUUCAUCAAUAAGGGAAUUAAAAGUAGACAUCACAGUGUCAUGUGGUGAGCAGACCUCCCAGUCCUCCCUCAGCUGGUCUGGUCUGUUCACAGCACACUGGGCUGAAGAGGGACCAGCGUCUUUCUUCUGGAGACAUCUGACAGCCAACCAGCCACUCUGGAGCCGUCAGUACAAUCACAGGAGAAGACUGUUGAUAGCGGUCCAGUGCGGGUCUCCUCAGGUGAGACGCUUCCUAAAACAUAUCAGAGCCAAGAGGAACGUGACUUCAUGUCCUGCAGGACUGUGGAUCAAUGUCUACAAUAACACUUUAAACCAGAGAUGUGAAAGUUUCCUUCAAAUGUAUAAUCCAGCAGCGAUCAGUCGACUAGCAGGGCCGGACUCAACAAUAGAAGAGUGAACUGUGACACAUUUCUUUUAUGCUUAAACACAAUAUACUGCAGAUUAUUUUUGUCCAAUAAGAUAAUGUAACGGGAUCAUUUAUUAUUUUAUUUAAGCUAAACCACUACAUAAUUCAUGUUUCCCUGCAGCAGAUUCCACAGCCAGGCUCCACCCACCAAGCGUUCAAACACACACGGAUCCUCGUUUCAUCUACAGAAACAUAAGCGAUGAGUAGAAGAAGAAGUUCAACAUGAACGUCGUGUUUCUGGCUUUAAAGAGGACGACAACUAGCUGAAGACGCCUCCUCGUGUUCCUCCAUGUUCACUAUCAUCCUCUUCAAUCAUCAAUGAUCAGUUAUUAAUAGGAUCUGUAUCUGAUGA